CAGUCGCCGCGGUAAUACGUAGGUGGCAAGCGUUGUCCGGAAUUAUUGGGCGUAAAGGGCUCGCAGGCGGUUUCUUAAGUCUGAUGUGAAAGCCCCCGGCUCAACCGGGGAGGGUCAUUGGAAACUGGGAAACUUGAGUGCAGAAGAGGAGAGUGGAAUUCCACGUGUAGCGGUGAAAUGCGUAGAGAUGUGGAGGAACACCAGUGGCGAAGGCGACUCUCUGGUCUGUAUCUGACGCUGAGGAGCGAAAGCGUGGGGAGCGAACAGGAUUAGAUACCCCUGUAGUCCCUGUCUCUUAUAA
rnacentral:rRNA from 1 species